GGGUAGGAACGGAGCGAGGGGAGCCAGGCUACUUAUUUUCUUUUCAUUUCACCAUGUGUUGGCAGACGCGGGCGCUCGUAAACACGCGCCGGCUGCAUCGGCUCCGGGCCGCGGUGGAGAUUGCCACUGGGUGAUGAGACGUUUGCGAUGGCCGAAAAAGAACAGAUGAUGUCCUUUACCCAGCAACCCCUUCACCCCUCCCCCGCCAGCGCAAGGCCAGAUAGAACCAGAAAAGACGAAGAUGUGAACACGACUGAGACCGUGGGAUCCUGGAAGUGA
rnacentral:lncRNA from 1 species